rnacentral:SRP_RNA from 1 species
UAGUAGGUAGGAUCAGGGCGUUAGCCGUGCCCUACAUCUGAAACCGGCUAUAUGCAGAGAUUAGUAACCACUGGGUAAAUCUCUAGAUGGGUAAUACCCGCUUGACUUGCGGAAAUGAAAUCACGCCGAAUCGGGUGGAUGCAGGACUAAGGUUAUCCGAAGGGAUGAUUCGAAGACCGAACCGCUGAAAGGGAUAAGGUCCGGGAGGGAGCAAUCCUAAGGCGGAACACCCACGCUAGUUCGUCAACGUGGCGGAUCUUGCUUGACUUGAAAUGGGAUUAUUCGUCUAGACUGGAACUAGUGGGGCUACUA